CCCGCGGCAAGACGGAAAGACCCCGUGAACCUUUACUAUAGCUUGACACUGAACAUUGAGCCUUGAUGUGUAGGAUAGGUGGGAGGCUUUGAAGCGUGGACGCCAGUCUGCGUGGAGCCGACCUUGAAAUACCACCCUUUAAUGUUUGAUGUUCUAACGUGGACCCGUAAUCCGGGUUGCGGACAGUGUCUGGUGGGUAGUUUGACUGGGGCGGUCUCCUCCUAAAGAGUAACGGAGGAGCACGAAGGUUGGCUAAUCCUGGUCGGACAUCAGGAGGUUAGUGCAAUGGCAUAAGCCAGCUUGACUGCGAGCGUGACGGCGCGAGCAGGUGCGAAAGCAGGUCAUAGUGAUCCGGUGGUUCUGAAUGGAAGGGCCAUCGCUCAACGGAUAAAAGGUACUCCGGGGAUAACAGGCUGAUACCGCCCAAGAGUUCAUAUCGACGGCGGUGUUUGGCACCUCGAUGUCGGCUCAUCACAUCCUGGGGCUGAAGUAGGUCCCAAGGGUAUGGCUGUUCGCCAUUUAAAGUGGUACGCGAGCUGGGUUUAGAACGUCGUGAGACAGUUCGGUCCCUAUCUGCCGUGGGCGCUGGAGAACUGAGGGGGGCUGCUCCUAGUACGAGAGGACCGGAGUGGACGCAUCACUGGUGUUCGGGUUGUCAUGCCAAUGGCACUGCCCGGUAGCUAAAUGCGGAAGAGAUAAGUGCUGAAAGCAUCUAAGCACGAAACUUGCCCCGA
rnacentral:rRNA from 2 species